rnacentral:rRNA from 1 species
AACGAACGCUGGCGGCAGGCUUAACACAUGCAAGUCGAACGGGUGUAGCAAUACAUCAGUGGCAGACGGGUGAGUAACACGUGGGAACCUUCCUAGGGGUACGAACAACUCAGGGAAACUUGAGCUAAAUACCCGUAUACGCCCGUAAGGAGAAAGAUUCAUCGCCCCUAGACGGGCCCGCGUCGGAUUAGGUAGUUGGUGGGGUAACGGCCUACCAAGCCUACGAUCCGUAGCUGAUCUGAGAGGA